rnacentral:tRNA from 1 species
UCCCUGGUGGUCCAGUGGUUAAGACUCUGUGCUUCCAAUGCAGAGGACCCAGGUUCGAUCCCUGGUUGGAGAA